UAUUGCAUAAGUAAAAUUUAUCAAAUUAAUUUGAAUGAAUUGCAGGAAAAUGAAAACUAUUAGAGGCUGUUGCUGAAAUUCACCCGCUUAAUUUAAUGGGGUUUGCUGCAAAAAUCCUUUGGGUUGUUAGACGUGCUCUUGAGAACGUCAGGAGCCUGUUUGUAUGUAAUAGUCAAGAAGCUGAGACCAACAAGUAUAAGACGAAAGAAGAAGAAGAAGAAGAAGAAGUAAAGGAGUAAACUAUCACCACGGUUGUUAUAUUACGACAGCAGUGGGGUCACUCCAAUAGGGCGUUCGCGCUAGCUAGUCAAUGAGCAUUUUUUAUCCGCGAGCAGACCAACGACUUACUGCAGCAAGCGAAUUUUUAUCGUCGAUAUAUAUUUCUUCAUACAGACAAUCCCUCGCUCACUCGGUUUGCUUAUCACGUGCGUAUGCAUGCGUACAUACGUGGGGUCGUUGAACGAGUAGGGGGUAUAUACAACUGGAUGUACAAGGAAUAUGAUACAGAAAAUAUAUAUGGUAUUUUGGUUUGCCAUGUGAAAGAUUUAAUCUAUUAUAUUGAGCAGCAGAGACCAGAGAGAGUAUCAUGUGUGAAUUGUAGAAAAUAACGUCAUCAUCUGCGUUAUUAAUGUCACUAUAAUUAUAAUUAUAACAAGAGAUUAUGUAUUAAAUGUGUAUCUGUAGGUAUCACUAAAGGAUUUACGGAUAUUUAAAUAUGGCUCAGAGUAUACAUUGAGAAUUAAAUUUGCAGAGCAAACUCCGGGCAAGUAAGAGGGAAAAAUUAGUUAUUAUGUAUUAUAUGCUUUCAUCGCCAUGUACAUUGGUAGUGGCGUUGCUGAAGAUGUUUGAGGAUGAGUAUAGAGGAGUAGGUAGGUAAGUAGGUAUAAGCGGAAGUCGGCUUAACGGUUACGAGACAGGCCUCGCACUUGUUCAAUAAGAUGAUACGACACAACCCGAGCCUGAGGUCAAAAACUUAUUCAAAAAACAAAUUUUAAGAGUAAUACUUGU